rnacentral:rRNA from 1 species
UGGUUCCGGCAGGCGCGCCUCGCCGCCGUCAAAUGGAUCCUUGAAACUCGGGGCUGCUUCGGGUUCGGCCACCGCACGGCGUACCUGGCCAUCGCCUACUUCGACCGCUUCUUCCUCCGGCGACGUGUCGAUAGGGCGGCCAUGCCGUGGGCGGCGCGCCUCCUGUCCGUGGCCUGCGUCUCCGUGGCGGCCAAGAUGGAGGAGUACUGCGCGCCGGCGCUGUUGGAGCUCGACGCCGGCGGCGGCUACGAGUUCUGGUCCGCCUCCGUCCGCCGGAUGGAGCUGCUCGUGCUGUCCACGCUCGGUUGGCGCAUGGCCGCCGUUACGCCGUUCGACUACCUCCCUUGCUUCUCCUCCCGGCUCGACCGGCACGACGGCCGUGGCGGCGGCGGGCAUGACCCCGCCCGCGUCGCCCUCAAGUCCAUCGGCUCCAUCUUUGCCACAGCCGAAGCCGGCAGUGUGCUGGAUUACAGGCCAUCUACUGUGGCUGCAGCUGCAAUCUUGGCUGCAUCCUAUGAAGCUCUACUGACCAAAGAAGCACUGGAGUCCAAGAUGGACAAUCUAUCUCCAUCAUGCCCCAUUGAGAAGGAGCAUGCACAUGCCUGCUACAGCAUGAUGGUUGACGACUUGAAAAGCAGAAUUAUGAGCCAUGGCAAGAGAUCAUUGCCAUGUUCAGACUCCAAUGAAGUUGCCAUCAGUACAUAUGAUUCUGUUCUUGUUGAUGAUGUUGCCGACACCGCCGCCUUCAUCGCAGCUGUGUCGGGUCUUCGGCUUCGGCCUGACCCGCCUCGUCGCCGGCGUGCACAAGACGGCGCAGUCGAGGAAGCUCGGCAGCAGCGUGGCGUGCGCGCUCCGCAGCGGCGCCCUGUCGGCGCUGUCGUACGUGGCGCCGGAGCUGCGCGCGCCGGGGGGCACGGCCGCGGCGGUGACGCAGAAAACCGGGAAAAAGCCUUGGCUGGUGGCUUUCUUGGGGUAACUUGCACUGACUGCACAUAA